rnacentral:piRNA from 1 species
UCAGUUUGUAAAACCGCGCCUACGCAAUC